rnacentral:rRNA from 1 species
GAUGAACGCUGGCGGCGUGCCUAAUACAUGCAAGUCGAGCGAAUGGGUUAAGAGCUUGCUCUUAUGAAGUUAGCGGCGGACGGGUGAGUAACACGUGGGUAACCUGCCCAUAAGACUGGGAUAACUCCGGGAAACCGGGGCUAAUACCGGAUAACAUUUUGAACCGCAUGGUCCGAAAUUGAAAGGCGGCUUCGGCUGUCACUUAUGGAUGGACCCGCGUCGCAUUAGCUAGUUGGUGAGGUAACGGCUCACCAAGGCAACGAUGCGUAGCCGACCUGAGAGGGCGAUCGGCCACACUGGGACUGAGACACGGCCCAGACUCCUACGGGAGGCAGCAGUAGGGAAUCUUCCGCAAUGGACGAAAGUCUGACGGAGCAACGCCGCGUGAGUGAUGAAGGCUUUCGGGUCGUAAAACUCUGUUGUUAGGGAAGAACAAGUGCUAGUUGAAUAAGCUGGCACCUUGACGGUACCUAACCAGAAAGCCACGGCUAACUACGUGCCAGCCGCCGCUGUAA